rnacentral:lncRNA from 1 species
CACUCUUAACUGCUAGGCUACCUGCUGCCCCCAUGACUGUGACUGAAUAACUGUACUUUGUCCUGAGUACAAAGUUCAAAGUAAUGGAACAGGCAUUAUUAGGACAGACUGCUUGAUAGUUUGCACUACAGAGGAAGAUGUUUGUUUGCUCAGCUGUUACUGUACCUUCACAGUGAAAGUAGCCUUACUUACAGUAGUGCAACACUUUUUCUAUUACUGAUGAGCUUUGGAAGGCACGUGUGUAGUAACAUCAUGUUCCCUUUGCAUCCUUGUGUGUAUAUGUCUAAUAUAUUUAAUGUGGGUUUUUUUUCAGUCUGAUAUAUUAGCUAGUUCCUUCUGGUGGACCAAGGGGCAUGAAUGUGUGCUCUGUGGGAUAGAUAAACACAUGUGAAUUCUCUAUUUACAGCCUGACAAUCUGGUACAAUUGGAAUUAACACCGGUUUCUGUGUGAUAUUCAUUUUUUGUCUGUGUUGCUGAUAUUGGUUAAAACAGGUAUUUUUUGUCUGUUGCUGAUAUUGGUUAAAACAGGUAUUUUUUUUUCAGUGACUUUCAUGAAUUUAUGCUUCCAGUAUACAGUACAUGCGUGACUACAGUACAUGAAACAGAUUGUUGGUAGUUCACCAUUACUGAGUUAGAAAUGUAAAAGUGCAUUAAAAACAGUGGUGGAAAAAGUACCAAAUUGUCAUACUUGAGUAAAAAUACCUUAAUAGAAAAUGACUCAAGUGAAAGUCACCCAGUAAAAUACUACUUGAGUAAAAGUAUUUGGUUUUUUAAAAUACUUCAGUAUGAAAAGUAAAUGUAAUUUCUUAAAUAUACUUAAAUAUCAAAAGUGAAAGAAUUAAUCAUUUCAAAUGAAUUAUAUUAAGCAACCCAGGCGACACCAUUUUCUUGUUUUAAUUUACGGAUAGCCAGGGGCACAUUCCAACACUCUGACAUUGUUUACAAAAUAAGCAUGUGUUUAGUGAGUCCGCCAGAUCAGAAGUAGGAUGACCUCUUGAUAAGUGCUUGAAUUGGACCAUUUUCCUGUUCUGCUAAGCAUUCAAAAUGUAACGAGUUCUUUUGGGUGUCAGGGAAAAUGUAUGGGGUAAGAAGUACAUUAUUGUCUUUAGGAAUGUAGUGAAGUAAAAGUUGGAAAAUAUAAAUGUUAAAGUACAGACCCCAAAAAACUACUUUAGUACUUUAAAAUAUUUUUACUUAAGUACUUUACACCACUGAUUAAAAGGAUGCUAUUGAACUAUGGUAUGGGUAAUUUUGUUUAAUUCCUUGGGGUCCCACAAUGGCUGGAAGUCUAUGGGUAUCUACUAACAUGCUUUCAGAUACCCAUAGACUUCCAGUCAUUGUGCUGACGCUAGUUAGCGUUAGCAUUUGCUAGCAAACUAACUUCCUUCAUACUGGACACGGAUACAUAAAAAUGGUAUCCACAAGUUCAUCUGGCUCUGGGGAAGUAGAUAAAUGGCCUUAUUGCCAAAAUCCGGAACCAUCCCUUUAAAGUAACUUACUCUCAUCAAGUAUGAAGAUCGUUUUCCUACUUUUACCUUUGAUAAACACACUUGUUUUCUGUUUGGGGGAAAAAACUGUUCAGUUAGCAGUAUAUAAAUGUUUGAAAUGUUGUGAGAGGAAAUUGCCUCUAAUUGAGCUUUUGUUUUGAGAUGGUCAGUUGUAGAGCUACUGUAUGCUGAACAUAAGAAACUUUGGUUUCUAUAUUGAAAUACUACUGUAUGCAAUGUUUUGGGAAUGUCCACCUUGUGAUUGUACCACUUUCUGGUGUGCUAUCACUUUUUC